rnacentral:tRNA from 1 species
AGUGUUAUGUCUGAUUUAAGUAAUAAAUUGUAAAUUUAUUUAAAGGUUUUAUUAAACCUUAAUACUU